ACGGGAGGCAGCAGUGGGGGAUAUUGCACAAUGGGGGAAACCCUGAUGCAGCGACGCCGCGUGAGCGAAGAAGAUCUUCGGAUUGUAAAGCUCUGUCUUAGGGGACGAUAAUGACGGUACCCUGAGAGGAAGCCACGGCUAACUACGUGCCAGCAGCCGCGGUAAUACGUAGGUGGCAAGCGUUGUCCGGAAUUACUGGGUGUAAAGGGAGCGCAGGCGGGUCGACAAGUUGGAAGUGAAAAUUACGGGCUCAACUCGUAAACUGCUUUCAAAACUGCCGAUCUUGAGUGGUGUAGAGGUAGGCGGAAUUCCCGGUGUAGCGGUGGAAUGCGUAGAUAUCGGGAGGAACACCAGUGGCGAAGGCGGCCUACUGGGCACUAACUGACGCUGAGGCUCGAAAGCAUGGGUAGCAAACAGGAUUAGAUACCCUGGUA
rnacentral:rRNA from 2 species